AAAACAAGUGCAGUACGAUAAAUUGAAAAAUUCUAAUUAAAAGCAGUUAAAUCCUACAGCUAUUAGUACGGCUGAUUGAAAUUGGUACUACAUAGCUGCUAUCCUUUCAUCUACGGUAUCGUAAAAACUAAAUUAAUCAUACAACACACAAUAAGAGCAUUACCACCACCAACUGAACUACUGUAAAAGACAUAAAAGGGACACUAAACGUAAGUUUUCUUAAAUCUAUUAACUAAAAAUAUGCAAACGUUAUAUCGAACCACUAACUAAAA